CCUACGGGAGGCAGCAGUGAGGAAUAUUGGUCAAUGGGCGAGAGCCUGAACCAGCCAAGUCGCGUGAGGGAGUACUGCCCUAUGGGUUGUAAACCUCUUUUGUCGGGGAGCAAAAGCCGGACGUGUCCGGCUGUGAGAGUACCCGAAGAAACAGCAUCGGCUAACUCCGUGCCAGCAGCCGCGGUAAUACGGAGGAUGCGAGCUUUUUCCGGUUUUAUUGGGGUUAAAGGGGGCGCAGGCGGAUUUUUAAGUCGGCGGUCAAAUCGUGGGGCUCAACACCAUCCAGCCGUUGAAACUGGGGAUCUAGAGUGUGCGAGAGGUAUGCGGAAUGCGUGGUGUAGCGGUGAAAUGCAUAGAUAUCACGCAGAACCCCGAUGGCGAAGGCAGCAUACCGGUGCACAACUGACGCUCAGGCACGAAAGCGUGGGUAUCGAACAGGAUUAGAUACCCGAGUAGUC
rnacentral:rRNA from 1 species